rnacentral:rRNA from 1 species
UACGGAGGGUGCGAGCGUUACCCGGAUUUACUGGGUGUAAAGGGCGUGUAGGCGGUCUUUCAAGUCCGAUGCUAAAGACCGGGGCUCAACCCCGGGGGUGCGUUGGAUACUGUGAGGCUAGACGGUCGGAGGGGGUAGCGGAAUUUCCGGAGUAGCGGUGAAAUGCGCAGAUACCGGAAGGAACGCCGAUAGCGAAGGCAGCUACCUGGACGAUUUGUGACGCUGAGGCGCGAAAGAGUGGGGAGCAAACCGG